AUACAAUCAUAGAAUCUUAGUCUUUGCAGAAACCUCUGAGAGACUCUAUUCUAUUCAUCCACCCAAAGGAGGAAUUCAUACUCAAAUAUCCCUGACAAAUGACCGGCCAUUUAAAAAAUUGCAAACUCUAGACUUAAAGUAUUCAGCACAUAGGAGAGACUCAAUCUGGUACUUGGUAUAGUCCCUGCUUGCAAGAUAAAUAAAUGAAAGAAUCAAAGAAUACACACGUAAGCAAUAUCAAGAUUAAACACCAACGACCCAUCAAAAAACAGCUGCAGCAUUUCUAAAGGAGUGAAUGGUGGGACACAUGAGCACAGUUUUGCCCGUUACCCUGGUUUUCAGAAUUACCAGCUCUCUCCCUGGCUCCUGGUUCUCUGUUAUUAAUAUUCAUUGAGGAAGAUAAGGUUUUUCUGCAUUUCUCAAAAGUAAAAAGGGAAGAAAUACCCAGCAUCAAACCCACAGAGGGCACCAUCCAAAACAUAAAAGGAACGGAGACAGUUCUUUUUAUUUCUCUGAUUUAUCGCAAGAUAAAGCACCUUUUCCAGAAGCCUAUCGUCACACAGCCCUCUCAAGAUCCCAAGGUUGGGUCAGGUAGCCGAACGUUGGAUACAAGCAAGGGAGCCUGACAAAAACACCAAUUCCAUCACGGAAACCAUCUGCCCUACGUAAUGCAAGAAUCACCUCCUGAGCCCUGUUAAAAAAAGCAUUCAAUAUGUAGAAUGAUUCAUUUUCAAUCAUUAAAAAUAUGUUCAGC
rnacentral:lncRNA from 1 species